AAGAGUUAGGUAAAUCCGGCUCUUUUUAAGGCUGAGACACGACGUCGAGCAUCUACGGAUGUGAAGUCAUUGAUGCCAUGCUUCCAGGAAAAGCCUCUAAGCUUCAGAUUGUAAGGAAUCGUACCCCAAACCGACACAGGUGGUCGGGUAGAGAAUACCAAGGCGCUUGAGAGAACUCGGGUGAAGGAACUAGGCAAAAUGGUACCGUAACUUCGGGAGAAGGUACGCUCUUGAUGGUGAAGUCCCUUGCG
rnacentral:rRNA from 1 species